GGUUCCGUGGUCUAAUGGUAUGACAUCUACUAGAUAAGGCUACAUUCUGCGAAGUGAAAGCAGGAAUGAGGCAUGAGGUGGAAGAUUUGGGUUCAAGUCCUAGCGGAGCCA